GACCUCGAAUCAGGUAGGACUACCCGCUGAACUUAAGCAUAUCAAUAAGCGGAGGAAAAGAAACUAACAAGGAUUCCCCUAGUAACUGCGAGUGAAGCGGGAAGAGCUCAAAUUUGAAAUCUGGCGGUUCUGCCGCCCGAGUUGUAAUCUGGAGAAGCGUUUUCCGUGCCGGACCGUGUACAAGUCCCUUGGAACAGGGCGUCAUAGAGGGUGAGAAUCCCGUCUUUGACACGGACUCCCGGUGCUCUGCGAUGCGCUCUCGAAGAGUCGAGUUGUUUGGGAAUGCAGCUCAAAAUGGGUGGUAAAUUCCAUCUAAAGCUAAAUAUUGGCGAGAGACCGAUAGCGAACAAGUACCGUGAGGGAAAGAUGAAAAGCACUUUGGGAAAGAGAGUAAAACAGUACGUGAAAUUGUUGAAAGGGAAACGCUUGAAGUCAGUCGCGUCUUCUGGGACUCAGCCUUGCUUUCUGCUCGGUGCACUUCCCAGUUUGACGGGUCAGCAAUCGGCUCUGGGGGGUUGGACAAANGCGUGGGGGAAGGUGGCAGCUCCGGCUGUGUU
rnacentral:rRNA from 1 species